AACUGUGAGACAGGUGCUGCAUGGC
rnacentral:ncRNA from 2 species